rnacentral:rRNA from 1 species
UACGUAGGGGGCUAGCGUUGUCCGGAAUCAUUGGGCGUAAAGCGCGUGUAGGCGGUCCGGUAAGUCCGCUGUGAAAGUCGGGGGCUCAACCCUCGGAUGCCGGUGGAUACUGUCGGGCUUGAGUACGGAAGAGGCGAGUGGAAUUCCUGGUGUAGCGGUGAAAUGCGCAGAUAUCAGGAGGAACACCAAUUGCGAAGGCAGCUCGCUGGGACGUUACUGACGCUGAGACGCGAAAGCGUGGGGAGCAA